CCUACGGGAGGCAGCAGUAGGGAAUCUUCGGCAAUGGACGGAAGUCUGACCGAGCAACGCCGCGUGAGUGAAGAAGGUUUUCGGAUCGUAAAGCUCUGUUGUAAGAGAAGAACGAGUGUGAGAGUGGAAAGUUCACACUGUGACGGUAUCUUACCAGAAAGGGACGGCUAACUACGUGCCAGCAGCCGCGGUAAUACGUAGGUCCCGAGCGUUGUCCGGAUUUAUUGGGCGUAAAGCGAGCGCAGGCGGUUAGAUAAGUCUGAAGUUAAAGGCUGUGGCUUAACCAUAGUACGCUUUGGAAACUGUUUAACUUGAGUGCAAGAGGGGAGAGUGGAAUUCCAUGUGUAGCGGUGAAAUGCGUAGAUAUAUGGAGGAACACCGGUGGCGAAAGCGGCUCUCUGGCUUGUAACUGACGCUGAGGCUCGAAAGCGUGGGGAGCAAACAGGAUUAGAUACCCUUGUAGUC
rnacentral:rRNA from 3 species